GAUUUAUUGGGUUUAAAGGGAGCGUAGACGGGAUGUCAAGUCAGCUGUGAAAGUUUGCGGCUUAACCGUAAAACUGCAGUUGAAACUGGCGUUCUUGAGUGCGUUCGAGGCAGGCGGAAUUCGUGGUGUAGCGGUGAAAUGCUUAGAUAUCACGAAGAACUCCGAUUGCGAAGGCAGCAUGCUGGGCCGUUACUGACGCUGAGGCUCGAAAGUGCGGGUAUCAAAC
rnacentral:rRNA from 1 species